UACGAAGGGGGCUAGCGUUGUUCGGAAUUACUGGGCGUAAAGCGCACGUAGGCGGAUUUGUAAGUCAGGGGUGAAAUCCCGGGGCUCAACCUCGGAACUGCCUUUGAUACUGCAAGUCUUGAGUCCGGAAGAGGUGAGUGGAAUUCCUAGUGUAGAGGUGAAAUUCGUAGAUAUUCGCAAGAACACCAGUGGCGAAGGCGGCUCACUGGCCCGGUACUGACGCUGAGGUGCGAAAGCGUGGGGAGCAAACAGG
rnacentral:rRNA from 1 species